GACGGAGGGUGCUAGCGUUGUUCGGAAUUACUGGGCGUAAAGGGCGCGUAGGCGGCCCUGUCAGUCGGGUGUGAAAGCCCGGGGCUCAACCCCGGAAUGGCACCCGAGACGGCGGGGCUGGAGACCGGGAGAGGAGGGUGGAAUAGCCAGUGUAGAGGUGAAAUUCGUAGAUAUUGGCUGGAACACCGGUGGCGAAAGCGGCUCUCUGGCCCGGUUCUGACGCUGAGGCGCGAAAGCGUGGGGAGCAAACAGG
rnacentral:rRNA from 1 species